UACGUAGGGUGCGAGCGUUGUCCGGAAUUAUUGGGCGUAAAGAGCUCGUAGGCGGUGUGUCACGUCGGCCGUGAAAACCUGCAGCUUAACUGUGGGCGUGCGGUCGAUACGGGCAUCACUGGAGUUCGGCAGGGGAGACUGGAAUUCCUGGUGUAGCGGUGAAAUGUGCAGAUAUCAGGAGGAACACCGGUGGCGAAGGCGGGACUCUGGGCCGAUACUGACGCUGAGGAGCGAAAGCGUGGGGAGCAAACAGG
rnacentral:rRNA from 1 species